rnacentral:rRNA from 1 species
UACAGGGGGUGCAAACGUUGCUCGGAAUUAUUGGGCGUAAAGCGCGCGUAGGCGGCUACUUAAGUCGGAUGUGAAAGCCCCUGGCUCAACUGGGGAAGUGCACCCGAAACUGAGUGGCUUGAGUGCGAAAGAGGGUCGCGGAAUUCCCGGUGUAGAGGUGAAAUGCGUAGAUAUCUGGAGGAACACCGGUGGCGAAGGCGGCAUCCUGGACCGGCAUUGACGCUGAGGCGCGAAAGCCAGGGGAGCAAACGGG